rnacentral:rRNA from 1 species
AUACGUAGGUGGCAAGCGUUGUCCGGAAUUACUGGGUGUAAAGGGUGCGCAGGCGGGACUGCAAGUUGGAUGUGAAAUACCGGGGCUCAACCCCGGGGCUGCAUCCAAAACUGUGGUUCUUGAGUGAAGUAGAGGUAGGCGGAAUUCCGAGUGUAGCGGUGAAAUGCGUAGAUAUUCGGAGGAACACCAGUGGCGAAGGCGGCCUACUGGGCUUUAACUGACGCUGAGGCACGAAAGCAUGGGGAGC